rnacentral:rRNA from 1 species
GCGUAAAGAGCUCGUAGGUGGUUUGUCGCGUUGUUCGUGAAAUCUCACGGCUUAACUGUGAGCGUGCGGGCGAUACGGGCAGACUUGAGUACUGCAGGGGAGACUGGAAUUCCUGGUGUAGCGGUGGAAUGCGCAGAUAUCAGGAGGAACACCGGUGGCGAAGGCGGGUCUCUGGGCAGUAACUGACGCUGAGGAGCGAAAGCGUGGGGAGCGAACAGGAUUAGAUACCCUGGUUAGUCCACGCCGUAAACGGUGGGUACUAGGUGUGGGUUUCCUUCCUUGGGAUCCGUGCCGUAGCUAACGCAUUAAGUACCCCGCCUGGGGAGUACGGCCGCAAGGCUAAAACUCAAAGAAAUUGACGGGGGCCCGCACAAGCGGCGGAGCAUGUGGAUUAAUUCGAUGCAACGCGAAGAACCUUACCUGGGUUUGACAUGCACAGGACGCCGGCAGAGAUGUCGGUUCCCUUGUGGCCUGUGUGCAGGUGGUGCAUGGCUGUCGUCAGCUCGUGUCGUGAGAUGUUGGGUUAAGUCCCGCAACGAGCGCAACCCUUGUCUCAUGUUGCCAGCGGGUAAUGCCGGGGACUCGUGAGAGACUGCCGGGGUCAACUCGGAGGAAGGUGGGGAUGACGUCAAGUCAUCAUGCCCCUUAUGUCCAGGGCUUCACACAUGCUACAAUGGCCGGUACAAAGGGCUGCGAUGCCGCGAGGUUAAGCGAAUCCUUUUAAAGCCGGUCUCAGUUCGGAUCGGGGUCUGCAACUCGACCCCGUGAAGUCGGAGUCGCUAGAAUCGCAGAUCAG